rnacentral:rRNA from 1 species
CAGUCGCCACGGGAAUACGGAGGGUACAAGCGUUAAUCGGAAUUACUGGGCGUAAAGGGUGCGUAGGCGGUCGUUUAAGUCUGUUGUGAAAUCCCCGGGCUCAACCUGGGAACUGCAUUUGAGACUGUAUGGCUAGAGUGUGUCAGAGGGGGGUAGAAUUCCACGUGUAGCAGUGAAAUGCGUAGAUAUGAGGAGGAAUACCGAUGGCGAAGGCAGCCCCCUGGGAUAACACUGACGCUCGUGCACGAAAGCGUGGGGAGCAAACAGGAUUAGAUACCCGGGUAGUCCCUGUCUCUUAUAC